rnacentral:rRNA from 1 species
GAUGAACGCUAGCGGCAGGCCUAAUACAUGCAAGUCGAGGGGUAGAAGAGGCUUGCUUCUUUGAGACCGGCGCACGGGUGCGUAACGCGUAUGCAACCUACCUUCAUCUGGGGGAUAGCCCGGAGAAAUCCGGAUUAAUACCGCAUAAAAUCACAGGAUGGCAUUAUCCAAUGAUCAAACAUUAAUGGGAUGGGGAUGGGCAUGCGUGUCAUUAGCUAGUUGGCGGGGUAACGGCCCACCAAGGCGACGAUGACUAGGGGAUCUGAGAGGAUGGCCCCCCACACUGGUACUGAGACACGGACCAGACUCCUACGGGAGGCAGCAGUAAGGAAUAUUGGUCAAUGGAGGCAACUCUGAACCAGCCAUGCCGCGUGCAGGAAGACUGCCCUAUGGGUUGUAAACUGCUUUUAUUCGGGAAUAAACCUUAUUACGUGUAAUAAGCUGAAUGUACCGAAGGAAUAAGGAUCGGCUAACUCCGUGCCAGCCGCCGCCGUAACAC